GCCUGGCUGGCUCAUUUGGUGGAGCAUGAGACUCUUGAUCUCAGGGUCGUGAGUUUGAGCCCUGCGUUGGGAG
rnacentral:tRNA from 1 species